rnacentral:lncRNA from 1 species
CAGUUUUAUUCAUUUUCAGAUUCACUCAUGAGUGAUGAUAAUAGAUAUUUAGGUAUUUACAAUAAAAAUAAAUAAAUUGUCUACUCGAGUGCCUGCAACGUAAAAUAUCAAUUGUGACUCACUCUUAUAAACACAACUAUUUCUAAACAUUUGCCAAAUAUAUGCUUAGUCUUCACCCAUACUGUUCAAUCAAAUUAUUCUGAAAACCCAGAGUUACAUUUUGAAAGACUGAAUUAAUAUCCCAAGGCAACAGCACUAAAAAUGCCAAAAUCAAAUGAAUUCCAGGGAACAUACAUUUACUAAAAGUCUCUUUCAGAGUGGGGGAAAAAUUACAUAGCAGUAAGGAGAGCUAAUACGGAAGAUCAAUAGGGAAGGUCGCCUUCAGGUAGAUCCCAAUUAUCAUCCUCCUCUUCCUUCUUGUUCUUGGGCGUCUCUUGUCUAUCCUGAGUGAAGUUUCUUGAUUGAGGGCGUCUGUUGUAGUGAAAGUAACAUUAUCAUUGAAGAAUACGAUACGAGUAUGAUAACUUUCCAAUGUAUCCAUUUGCUUUUAUUCAGCCAAAAAAUUUAAAAAUAAAAAAUAAAAAAAAUCAUCACAAUUGUGUACCAUGGCUAAUAUAAGCAUGAAAAACUAUAAACAAUAGAUGUCCGCCCUCUAAUAUAUCCCCAAUCUACCUCAAGGGUCUUAGAAACGAAAAGAAACUCAAGCUAACAUAUUACUAUCACAGAGCAUUUGGAUAUCAAAGAAAAAUGGCCUUGGGCUGUCCAAAAUCUGCUCGAAAAAGCUAGAUCAUUAUGAAGCAAAAUGGAGAUCACAUUUUGGAGGGAAGAGACAGUCACUUCAGAUUGCAUGCCUAGUGCUGGUUGUCUUGAAAAGUGCUAAAAGUCCCAAAGCAAGCUGAUUUGAAGGAGAAAUUUGGGUCAUCCUCAAGCUAGACAAGUUGGGUGUACCUAACAUAGGAAGCAAAGUAGAGGAGUUUUAUGGGGUUGUGUGAGCUGAGUGAGUGUUUGUAAUUCCUAAUCUAUGUAUCCCUCGAAUUUCUUUCCUUUACCUUUUAAUCCACUACGAAGAUGGUCUAGUUAUGGAUUUGCUGACUCUUGGCAAUGGCAGUACUACUUUGACGUCUAGAUCUUUAUGAGAAAAACCUCUCACUCACUUUCUCCAUUGUAAAUGCAAUUCCGGAGGUAAGAUGGCCAUGUCACCAUCCAAAUUUUUUGUCCGACACUAAACUUUAUGCUAACAAACCAACUAUCCAUCAGAAAAAAGUGCAAUGUAAUUUGAAAAGAGUGAAAGAAAAAGGGUAUCUUCUCCUUUCAGAGGGGAUUUUCAAAACUUCUCUUCAAGAAGUAAAGCAAUCCAAUUGCAAAUUGUCGAUUUGGUUUCCAUGUCUUGAAUAAUUUAGAAUGGCAGAAGCAAACAAUCCAACUGCAAUUGUUGAUUGUGUUGUAUAAUUUUGAAAGGCAACAUCCCAUAAGUAUUCAUUUUUACUUUUUGAUUUAUUCAAGAGUAAUAUUAUUUAGUUUGACACUACUAAUGCUAAGUAACAUUAACAUUAUUCUUUAUACGAAGAUAACUUGAGUCCACCACCAUAUUGUUUUUGGUCAUUGUUAGUCUCCAACAUUAAUUCUUCCUUAUUAUUGUUCUUUCUUUCUUCCUGAAUUGUCUAUUGUUGAGGUUCAUCAUUUUUCAACUAUCUCUUAUUGUCAAAACUAUCCCGUAUCCUGCAAUGCAGUUUUAUUCAUUUUCAGAUUCACUCAUGAGUGAUGAUAAUAGAUAUUUAGAUAUUUACAAUAAAAAUAAAUAAAUUGUCUACUCGAGUGCCUGCAACGUAAAAUAUCAAUUGUGACUCAUUCUUAUAAACACAACUAUUUCUAAACAUUUGCCAAAUAUAUGCUUAGUCUUCACCCAUACUGUUCAAUCAAAUUAUUCUGAAAACCCAGAGUUACAUUUUGAAAGACGGAAUUAAUAGCCCAAGGCAACAGCACUAAAAAUGCCAAAAUCAAAUGAAUUCCAGGGAACAUACAUUUACUAAAAGUCUCUUUCAGAGUGGGGGAAAAAUUACAUAGCAGUAAGGAGAGCUAAUACGGAAGAUCAAUAGGGAAGGUCGCCUUCAGGUAGAUCCCAAUUAUCAUCCUCCUCUUCCUUCUUGUUCUUGGGCGUCUCUUGUCUAUCCUGAGUGAAGUUUCUUGAUUGAGGGCGUCUGUUGUAGUGAAAGUAACAUUAUCAUUGAAGAAUACGAUACGAGUAUGAUAACUUUCCAAUGUAUCCAUUUGCUUUUAUUCAGCCAAAAAAUUUAAAAAUAAAAAAUAAAAAAAAUCAUCACAAUUGUGUACCAUGGCUAAUAUAAGCAUGAAAAACUAUAAACAAUAGAUGUCCGCCCUCUAAUAUAUCCCCAAUCUACCUCAAGGGUCUUAGAAACGAAAAGAAACUCAAGCUAACAUAUUACUAUCACAGAGCAUUUGGAUAUCAAAGAAAAAUGGCCUUGGGCUGUCCAAAAUCUGCUCGAAAAAGCUAGAUCAUUAUGAAGCAAAAUGGAGAUCACAUUUUGGAGGGAAGAGACAGUCACUUCAGAUUGCAUGCCUAGUGCUGGUUGUCUUGAAAAGUGCUAAAAGUCCCAAAGCAAGCUGAUUUGAAGGAGAAAUUUGGGUCAUCCUCAAGCUAGACAAGUUGGGUGUACCUAACAUAGGAAGCAAAGUAGAGGAGUUUUAUGGGGUUGUGUGAGCUGAGUGAGUGUUUGUAAUUCCUAAUAUAUGUAUCCCUCGAAUUUCUUUACUUUACCUUUUAAUCCACUACGAAGAUGGUCUAGUUAUGGAUUUGCUGACUCUUGGCAAUGGCAGUACUACUUUGACGUCUAGAUCUUUAUGAGAAAAACCUCUCACUCACUUUCUCCAUUGUAAAUGCAAUUCCGGAGGUAAGAUGGCCAUGUCACCAUCCAAAUUUUUUGUCCGACACUAAACUUUAUGCUAACAAACCAACUAUCCAUCAGAAAAAAGUCCAGGGAACAUACAUUUACUAAAAGUCUCUUUCAGAGUGGGGGAAAAAUUACAUAGCAGUAAGGAGAGCUAAUACGGAAGAUCAAUAGGGAAGGUCGCCUUCAGGUAGAUCCCAAUUAUCAUCCUCCUCUUCCUUCUUGUUCUUGGGCGUCUCUUGUCUAUCCUGAGUGAAGUUUCUUGAUUGAGGGCGUCUGUUGUAGUGAAAGUAACAUUAUCAUUGAAGAAUACGAUACGAGUAUGAUAACUUUCCAAUGUAUCCAUUUGCUUUUAUUCAGCCAAAAAAUUUAAAAAUAAAAAAUAAAAAAAAUCAUCACAAUUGUGUACCAUGGCUAAUAUAAGCAUGAAAAACUAUAAACAAUAGAUGUCCGCCCUCUAAUAUAUCCCCAGUCUACCUCAAGGGUCUUAGAAACGAAAAGAAACUCAAGCUAACAUAUUACUAUCACAGAGCAUUUGGAUAUCAAAGAAAAAUGGCCUUGGGCUGUCCAAAAUCUGCUCGAAAAAGCUAGAUCAUUAUGAAGCAAAAUGGAGAUCACAUUUUGGAGGGAAGAGACAGUCACUUCAGAUUGCAUGCCUAGUGCUGGUUGUCUUGAAAAGUGCUAAAAGUCCCAAAGCAAGCUGAUUUGAAGGAGAAAUUUGGGUCAUCCUCAAGCUAGACAAGUUGGGUGUACCUAACAUAGGAAGCAAAGUAGAGGAGUUUUAUGGGGUUGUGUGAGCUGAGUGAGUGUUUGUAAUUCCUAAUAUAUGUAUCCCUCGAAUUUCUUUACUUUACCUUUUAAUCCACUACGAAGAUGGUCUAGUUAUGGAUUUGUUGACUCUUGGCAAUGGCAGUACUACUUUGACGUCUAGAUCUUCAUGAGAAAAACCUCUCACUCACUUUCUCCAUUGUAAAUGCAAUUCCGGAGGUAAGAUGGCCAUGUCACCAUCCAAAUUUUUUGUCCGACACUAAACUUUAUGCUAACAAACCAACUAUCCAUCAGAAAAAAGUGCAAUGUAAUUUGAAAAGAGUGAAAGAAAAAGGGUAUCUUCUCCUUUCAGAGGGGAUUUUCAUUGUCUACAACAAAAGGGUAAAUAGCUCCAAAACUCGACUGAACAAUAAUAUAGUGCUUAUAGACAAUGGGCCCGUAUGGAUCAAAAGAAAAAUUAAGCAGCCUGUAUGCACUAAAACGAAAGCAAACAGCACAAUAUAAGAACAAAUUGACUAAUAAUUAUAGCAAUUCCAAGACUUCAAAAACUUGUCAACUCAAAAACGGGACAAGAAACCACAAAGCAGUUCAAAAUCCACUAAUCGCCCAACUACACACAUUCAUAGAUCAAUAUACAGAACAAAUUGAAUAGAAUUCAGCCAACUGAACUGAGAAUGAAAGAGAAAAUAAGAAAUGGAAC